rnacentral:rRNA from 1 species
AACGAACGCUGGCGGCGUGGAUAAGACAUGCAAGUCGAACGGGACGGUAGCAAUCUCGUUCAGUGGCGGACGGGUGCGUAACACGUGAACAAUCUGCCCGGUAGAGGGGGAUAGCCCAGGGAAACUUGGAUUAAUACCCCGUGCGGCUCAGGCUGGCAUCAGCCUGACGCCAAAGGCGCUGCCAGGUGCCGCUUCCGGAUGCGGUCGCGGCCUAUCAGCUAGUUGGCGGGGUAACGGCCCACCAAGGCGAUGACGGGUAGCUGGUCUGAGAGGAUGACCAGCCACACUGGAACUGAGACACGGUCCAGACACCUACGGGUGGCAGCAGUCGAGAAUCAUUCACAAUGGGCGAAAGCCUGAUGGUGUGACGCCGCGUGGAGGAUGAAGGUCUUCGGAUUGUAAACUCCUGUCAUGCGGGAGUAAAGCCGGGCGUUCACUGCGCGCCGGUUUGAGAGUACCGCAAGAGGAAGGGACGGCUAACUCUGUGCCAGCCGCCGCGGUAACAC